GCGCCCGUAGCUCAGUUGGAUAGAGUGACAGACUCCGACUCUGUAGGCCACUGGUUCGAAUCCAGCCGGGCGUACCA
rnacentral:tRNA from 8 species